UUUAGAGACAAUGAUGUUUCUACUUUAUUCUUUCUGCUUCCUGUUUCUGGUUCAGAUGAGAGCCCUCAGCUUCCUGCUCCUGCCACUGGGCCUUCCUGCUACUAUCAUGAACACCACCCUCAGGAACGAUCCCAAAUAGAGUACAUACAUAUAUUCCAUGAGGUGGAUAAUUUGCUUAUUACUCCACCCCUAUGCCCAGAAACACCUCUACAAACAACAGAUGCUCAACAAAAACUGUUGCGUGAAUAAUGCAAAGAAGAGACCAAUAAUGCUAAAAGAGACCAAUGGAUGGCAAGCUCUGUCUGCUGAUGGGACUCGUGAGGACAUGGAACAUUUUCCCUGUCACAGAAGCUAUCAUUCAUUAGAGAUGUAGCAGGCAAUAACUUUAAUGUCCACUGGAAUGGCUCUGUGGAAGCUGCCCUGCCAAAGAAAACAGGUGCUCGAUGGCUGUGGAACAAGUCUGAGCAGAGAAUCCAAGCUGAACACUGACACACGUGACCACCGUUCUCAGGGCUGCAGAGAUCAGACAGUUGGUUGUGAGCCACCAUGCCAGGACUGGGAGUUGAACUUGAUACCUCUGGAAGAGCACUCAGUGCUGGUAACUGCAGAGCCAUCUCUCCUGCCUGGAAGCUGUACACGUGGACAUGAACGAAACUGAGAGGAGAGGAGGCUACCACACAGCACAUGGUCGACCAACUGGACCAUACCUCACCCCGGUCUUUACCAUAAAUCCUUUAAAAAUCUGGGGCAGCAGCGAGGGUAUCCCAUUGCCAGGACUCAAUCCUGCUACAGAAGUGCUGCUUUCUGUUUCUCUUAAGCCCGACCUAAGGCAUCAGAAAAAAGACUGGGACUCCUUCCUUAUGCUAGACAACCAAAGGAAAGAGAGCAUGACAGAAGGGCCACCAUUCAAGUCCAGACAUUGCUGUCUUCUGAACCCAGUCCACACUGCCCACCACUCAACCAUGAUCUACGUAAGCCAGUUGCAUAGAAGUAACUGAUGUCAGGAACAUCCUCCUCGUCCAUCUGGUUGACAAGCAUCAUUUAUAAUGGCACAGGUAUGUACAAGAAGACACUGAACAAUGUGGAGACCAGGAGGAAGUGGAUAUUAGCAAUCUCCAACAUAAACAUGAACUUUUCUCUGCCCGGGAGUAGCAGCCAGUGCUCCUUAGAGAGGUGUGGUAUCGCUCUGAUGAAGAACAAAGACAAGAAGAACAAAGACGGGAGCCUGGCAAAUACAAAUUACUUAUGUUUUACAAGAGAAGCAAAAUUGAAAGUUCUUUUAAAACACAGAGCCUAAUGUAUUAUUUCCUCAGUAGCAUAGAGUGGUAUAGCAGUCCUGAAAGAGGAAGGUUUCGUGUUUGCCCUUCUGUGAGCUUUUCUGUCUUCUGCCUUCUUUCAGUCCCUUGGGAGCCUCUCAUUGGCUUUGACUGGGGCACACAGAGACUGGAAGCUGGUUACUUCAUCCUUGAACAAAAAUCAGCUUCAGCACUUUAUCCUUCUGGGUACAAGCAAGUGGGAGUAUCUGGGUACCUCAUUGAAGCUGUCCUAUCAUCCCAACUGAGGACAUUGGAAAAGCAUCAGUUGCCGGGAAAGCAACUCCAUUACAAACAGUCAACACUAACUUCCUUCCCUGGUGGAUGGAUGGAGCUCUAGACCUUAGACUGAAGGGUGUGCUUGUU
rnacentral:lncRNA from 1 species